rnacentral:rRNA from 1 species
CAAGUGAAGAAGGGCGCACGGUGAAUGCCUUGGCACUGGAAGCCGAUGAAGGACGCGACUAACCGCGAAAGUCUUCGGGGAGCCGUAAGUAGGCUUUGAUCCGGAGGUCUCCGAAUGGGGGAACCCAGCAUGUGCAGACAUGCUAUCCUUAAGUGAAUACAUAGCUUAAGGAGGGAACACGCAGUGAACUGAAACAUCUAAGUAGCUGCAGGAAGAGAAAGAAAUAUCGAUUUCCCAAGUAGCGGCGAGCGAACAGGAAAGAGCCCAAACCGGCAGAUUUAUCUGCCGGGGUUGUAGGACUGAGACAUGGCACUUCAGAGGAUAGCAGAAGCGUUUGGGAAAGCGCGCCAGAGAGGGUGAGAGCCCCGUAAGCGAAAUCCAAAGGAGGCCUAUCAGUAUCCUGAGUAGGGCGGGACACGUGAAAUCCCGUUUGAAUCCGCGAGGACCAUCUCGCAAGGCUAAAUACUAACCAGUGACCGAUAGUGAACCAGUACCGUGAGGGAAAGGUGAAAAGAACCCCGGGAGGGGAGUGAAAGAGAACCUGAAACCGUGUGCCUACAAGUAGUCAGAGCCCGUUAACGGGUAAUGGCGUGCCUUUUGUAGAAUGAACCGGCGAGUUGCGUUAGUCAGCAAGGUUAAGUCAGAAAAGACGGAGCCGUAGCGAAAGCGAGUCUGAAGAGGGCGAGCAGUUGGCUGACGCAGACCCGAAACCAAGUGACCUACCCAUGACCAGGUUGAAGGCGCGGUAAAACGCGCUGGAGGACCGAACCCACGUAAGUUGAAAAUUGCGGGGAUGAGUUGUGGGUAGCGGUGAAAUUCCAAACGAACUUGGAGAUAGCUGGUUCUCUCCGAAAUAGCUUUAGGGCUAGCCUCGCAAAGAGGAUGCUGGAGGUAGAGCUCUGUUUGGACUAGGGGCCCGUCAAGGGUUACUGAAUUCAGAUAAACUGCGAAUUCCAGACAUUUAUGUGCGGGAGUCAGACUGCGAGUGAUAAGAUCCGUAGUCGAAAGGGAAACAGCCCAGAUCACCAGUUAAGGUCCCAAAAUUCAUGCUAAGUGGAAAAGGAUGUGGAGUUGCGCAGACAACUAGGACGUUGGCUCAGAAGCAGCCAUCAUUCAAAGAGUGCGUAAUAGCUCACUAGUCGAGUGACGCCGCGCCGAAAAUUUACCGGGGCUAAGCAUGAUACCGAAACUGUGGAUGUGCGUUUAUGCACGUGGUAGGAGAGCGUUCUAGCGGCGGUGAAGCAUGACUGAGAAGACAUGUGGAGCUUCUAGAAGUGAGAAUGCCGGUAUGAGUAACGAAAGACAGGUGAGAAUCCUGUCCGCCGCAAGACUAAGGUUUCCUGGGGCAGGCUCGUCCGCCCAGGGUAAGUCGGGACCUAAGGCGAGGCCGAGAGGCGUAGUCGAUGGACAACAGGUUGAAAUUCCUGUACUGCACCGAAUCGUUAUGAGCGAUGGAGGGACGCAGGAGGCUAGCAGCGCGUGGUGCUGGAUACCACGUUCAAGCGUCAAGUCUGAGAG